AACUUAGCAGAGAUGCUUUGGUGCCUUCGGGAACUGUGAGACAGGUGCUGCAUGGCUGUCGUCAGCUCGUGUUGUGAAAUGUUGGGUUAAGUCCCGCAACGAGCGCAACCCUUAUCCUUUGUUGCCAGCGGUUAGGCCGGGAACUCAAAGGAGACUGCCAGUGAUAAACUGGAGGAAGGUGGGGAUGACGUCAAGUCAUCAUGGCCCUUACGACCAGGGCUACACACGUGCUACAAUGGCAUAUACAAAGAGAAGCGACCUCGCGAGAGCAAGCGGACCUCAUAAAGUAUGUCGUAGUCCGGAUUGGAGUCUGCAACUCGACUCCAUGAAGUCGGAAUCGCUAGUAAUCGUAGAUCAGAAUGCUACGGUGAAUACGUUCCCGGGCCUUGUACACACCGCCCGUCACACCAUGGGAGUGGGUUGCAAAAGAAGUAGGUAGCUUAACCUUCGGGAGGGCGCUUACCACUUUGUGAUUCAUGACUGGGGUGAAGUCGUAACAAGGUAACCGUAGGGGAACCUGCGGUUGGAUCACCUCCUU
rnacentral:rRNA from 1 species